GCCCCCUGAAGUCAGCAAAUUUAAAAUAAAUAAAUAAAUAAUUCCAAACUAAUCAAAUAGUUAAACAGGGAAAAAACUUUCAUUCCUCAUCCAAUGCAUUGAAGUUAUAUGUCUUGUUUUAUUUUUCUCAUAAGGGGGUUGGAAAAGAAGUACCAAGAGAAGAAAAGGCCUUCAAAUGGUAUUUAUCAAUCUAGAAAAGGCAUGUGAUUAAAAAGGGAAUAAUUAAUAGAUAGGCAUUUACAUAUAAAGAGGCAAUCUCUAGUGGUCAAACAAUGAGGGAUGAUACAAAAGAUUUUUCCUAUUGCAAUUAGAUUGCUCCAAGGAUGGUCCUUGAGCCCUUAUCUUUUUGCUU
rnacentral:misc_RNA from 1 species